rnacentral:tRNA from 1 species
UUAACUGAAACCAAAAAGAGGUAUAUUACUGUUAAUAAUAAAACUGAAUAUUUUAUUCCAGUUAAG